AUGACAGCUAAGAAAUAGAGACUAGAAAUAAAAAAAAUUAUUUUUUAUUAUCUAACUCUUAGACUGUAAAUAAUGGAGAAUUUUUAGUACAGUUUUACCUUGCUUACAUCACUAACAGUUUUACAUAUACUUCACAGCUUCUCAAACAUAGAUGCUUAGAUCGCUGGCUAAGAACCAGACUUCUGAAUCCAGAGAACAGCUGUUCAAAUAAAUGUAGGAGUAACUAACAUGAGCACUUUCAGAAAAAGAAAUUGAAGAUCAUCUUUCUGCAUGUAUACAAGGUGAGUCUGACCUAUGAUAAUUUAUAUCUGUCCAUUAAUACCAAUUAAAACAUAACAUUGUAAGUAAAUGCAUACAUACAUAUGUAUAUAUUACAAAGGGGAGUAUGAAUUUUAAAAUGUACCAGUAAUUUAAGGAAUGUUUCAUUUAGUCAAUAAGGUGUUCCUUAUUCAUAAUUAGUAUCUGUCAAAAGAAGCUUAAUUCAUUUGCCCAUAGCUAGGUGCCUAGUAUAAUUCAAGGAGCAUCAGGGUGUCUAAACAUGAAUUUGUCAAGUAUUAUAGAGUGCGUAUUUGAGAUCCAUACCACUCUGAAGCUGCAGAAAGCCAAG
rnacentral:lncRNA from 1 species